rnacentral:tRNA from 1 species
GAGCCCGUAGCUCAGGUGGUAGAGCACCGGACUUUUAAUCCGGGUGUCCUGGGUUCGAGUCCCAGCGGGCUCACCA